UCUCUCUCUCUCUGAGAAAGAGAGAUUAAUUUGUCUUGGGUUGUUUUUAGCUCUUCCUUAGCAUUUCUUGUUGUAAUUCUUUAUCUUCUUCUUUUGUUUUUGUUCAAUGAAGUUAUUGUUGUUCAUAAAUGUUCUAUCUUUUGAAUUUGUAAUCAUGGCAUAGAUGUUCUAUGGUCAAUGCAUUAAAUCACAUUUGUGGAUAUGCUGCCCUUGUAGGUUUUCUGCAAUUGAUCUGUCUGUAAGUGGAAGAUGUGCAGAACCUGUGUACCGGGAUAAACUCAGCGGUAAUCGUUUGUCAAAGGAUGAGUUCUUGAAAUUACAACACGGAUAAGAAAAGCCCAAGGUAUUGCUUGAAGUUCUACUUGUGAAAUGAGAACUAUCACUUUUGUAUGGAUGCUUUCCAAUUUUAUCUGUCUAACCUACAA